rnacentral:rRNA from 1 species
UACGUAGGGGGCGAGCGUUGUCCGGAUUUAUUGGGCGUAAAAGGCUUGUAGGUGGCCACGUCAAGUCGGAUGUGAAAUCCCUCGGCUCAACCAAGGAAGUGCAUCCGAAACUGCUGAGCUUGAGUACUUAAGAGGAUCGCGGAAUUCCCGGUGUAGAGGUGAAAUUCGUAGAUAUCUGGAGGAACACCGGUGGCGAAGGCGGCAUCCUGGACCAACACUGACGCUGAGGAGCGAAAGCCAGGGGAGCAAACGGG